UACGUAGGGGGCAAGCGUUGUCCGGAAUCAUUGGGCGUAAAGCGCGCGUAGGCGGCCCGGUAAGUCCGUUGUGAAAGUCAAAGGCUCAACCUUUGAAUGCCGACGGAUACUGCCGGGCUAGAGUACGGAAGAGGCGAGUGGAAUUCCUGGUGUAGCGGUGGAAUGCGCAGAUAUCAGGAGGAACACCAAUUGCGAAGGCAGCUCGCUGGGACGGUACUGACGCUGAGGCGCGAAAGCGUGGGGAGCGAACAGG
rnacentral:rRNA from 1 species